UACGGAGGGGGCUAGCGUUGUUCGGAAUUACUGGGCGUAAAGCGCGCGUAGGCGGACCUGCAAGUCGGGGGUGAAAGCCCGAGGCUCAACCUCGGAACUGCCUUCGAUACUGCGGGUCUCGAGUCCGGGAGAGGUAAGUGGAAUUCCGAGUGUAGAGGUGAAAUUCGUAGAUAUUCGGGAGAACACCAGUGGCGAAGGCGACUUACUGGACAACUGUUGACGCUGAGGUGCGAAAGCGUGGGGAGCAAACAGG
rnacentral:rRNA from 1 species